CAGUCGCCGCGGUAAUACGUAGGUGGCAAGCGUUGUCCGGGAUUAUUGGGCGUAAAGGGCUCGCAGGCGGUUUCUUAAGUCUGAUGUGAAAGCCCCCGGCUCAACCGGGGAGGGUCAUUGGAAACUGGGAAACUUGAGUGCAGAAGAGGAGAGUGGAAUUCCACGUGUAGCGGUGAAAUGCGUAGAGAUGUGGAGGAACACCAGUGGCGAAGGCGACUCUCUGGUCUGUAACUGACGCUGAGGAGCGAAAGCGUGGGGAGCGAACAGGAUUAGAUACCCCCGUAGUCCCUGUCUCUUAUAC
rnacentral:rRNA from 1 species